rnacentral:rRNA from 1 species
AUGCCUGGCGCGCCAUGCCCCGCGCUUCUCCAGCUCCGUGCGCCUCCCAUGAUGCUGCUGCCGGUGCCGUCUCCCACCAGACCCCCUGGGUUUGAGACCUCCCCCACGCCGCCGCUGCUGUCCAACGGGCCGGUGCGCCGCACCCCCUCUCCUGUACGGCGCUGUCGGGCUGAUGCGUCCGAUGUGGUUGGCCUGCAAUGCCUCACACCGCUUUUCGAAGACCGCCAGGACGCCAUUUUGCCAACACCUACUCCGACCCCAACUCCUCCACGAGCUCCUGCGGCACGUCGGAAGACGAUGGCUGGACUCACCAUCUCUGCUGUUGAUGGCGCCUUCUCGCUGCACAAGACGAGGGCGGCAGGCUGCCCCAAGGGUGCGCCCGUAGCUCGUGCGGCAGAGAUUCUUGUCUGUCGCUCCCUCGGCAUUGUUAAGAAUGGAGAGGACGUGACUACGACGGUUCCGGACGCAUUUGCGGAUCGCUUCAAGGAGCAGUUGUCGCCGGAGGUGCUCGCUGCCAUGAGGGGGUUGUUCAAGCUCGAUGAUGCUGAAGCUGCUGCUGUCGAAGACGCGCUCCUGGCGCAUGGAGGUGGAGGCGCCCUGGACUUGGAGAGAGACGAGGAAGCCGUGCUGCAGCAGGCAGCAAUUUGA